rnacentral:rRNA from 1 species
UACGAGGGGGGCAAGCGUUGUUCGGAAUUAUUGGGCGUAAAGGGCGCGUAGGCGGUGCGGUAAGUCUGAUGUGAAAUCUCCGGGCUCAACUCGGAGUCUGCAUCAGAAACUGCCGUGCUUGAGUAUGGGAGAGGUGAGUGGAAUUUCCGGUGUAGCGGUGAAAUGCGUAGAUAUCGGAAGGAACACCUGUGGCGAAAGCGGCUCACUGGACCAUUACUGACGCUGAGGCACGAAAGCUAGGGGAGCAAACAGG